AACGAACGCUGGCGGCAUGCCUAACACAUGCAAGUCGAACGAGACCUUCGGGUCUAGUGGCGCACGGGUGCGUAACGCGGGGGAACCUGCCCUUAGGUUCGGAAUAACUCCCCGAGGGGUGUGCUAAUACCGGAUAAUGUCUUCGGACCAAAGAUUUAUCGCCUUUGGAUGGGCCCGCGUUGGAUUAGCUGGUUGGUAGGGUAAAAGCCUACCAAGGCGACGAUCCAUAGCUGGUCGGUGAGGAGGACCAGCCACACUGGGACUGAGACACGGCCCAGACUCCUACGGGAGGCAGCAGUGGGGAAUACUGUACGAGGGGCGAAAGUCUGAUCCAGCAAUGCGGCGGGAGUGAUGAAGGCCUUAGGGUUGUAAAGCUCUUUGACCCGGGACGAUAAUGACAGUACCGGGAGAAUAAGCUCCGGCUAACUCCGUG
rnacentral:rRNA from 1 species